CGAGGACGACGCUGGCGGCGUGCUUAACACAUGCAAGUCGAACGGUGAACCAGAGCUUGCUCUGGGGAUCAGUGGCGAACGGGUGAGUAACACGUGGGCAACCUGCCCCAGACUCUGGGAUAACCUCGGGAAACCGAUGCUAAUACCGGAUACGACCACUUCGGACAUCCGACGGUGGUGGAAAGUUUUUCGGUCUGGGAUGGGCCCGCGGCCUACCAGCUAGUUGGUGGGGGUAAUGGCCUACCAAGGGCGACGACGGGUAGCCGGCCUGAGAGGGCGACCGGCCACACUGGAACUGAGACACGGUCCAGACUCCUACGGGAGGCAGCAGUGGGGAAUAUUGCACAAUGGGCGAAAGCCUGAUGCAGCGACGCCGCGUGAGGGACGACGGCCUUCGGGUUGUAAACCUCUUUCAGCAGGGACGAAGCGAAAGUGACUGUACCUGCAGAAGAAGCACCGCCUAACUACGUG
rnacentral:rRNA from 1 species